GGGUGCGCCAGUCGCACUGGCGGAAGAGUCUUCAGAAUGGCCAAUCACCCGCUCCGGAUGGGCCAGCAGCUGUUCCGUUUCGGCCAGAAGAAAAGCUGUUGUGUGUGGAUUGACGAGUCGAAAAAAAAACAACCGAACCAACUCCUCCCGAAAAAAAAAAGAAGCUGAUGUGGUGGACGCCGCCUCGUCAUCCGCGUCUACCGAUCCCGCAACCCGCGCGUCCCAGGACUUUCCGUCCCAAUUUGAGAAUUAAACCAAACAAAUUUUCUCGGAAAAGUGACGUCGGGAGAUUUUUGGUGAUGUUGAUCAAAUAAAAGAAGAAGAAGAAAAAAAAAAAAAGAAAAGAAACCACCUCUUUCAAUUAACCUUGUUAGCGCGAGUGUGUGAUUUAUAUUUAUUGUCGGGACAGUGGGGCAUUGUUGGGGCGGACCCAAAGUUCCUACCGCUCGCGGAGAAAUACAAAAACGAAAUUUUAUUU